AUUUUGGGCAAUGGGCGAAAGCCUGACCCAGCAACGCCGCGUGAAGGACGAAAUCCCUCCGGGAUGUAAACUUCGAAAGUCAGGAAAGAAAUCCCUGGAGCGAACACCUCCAGGGGAUGACGGUACCUGACGUAAGCCCCGGCUAACUACGCGCCAGCAGCCGCGGUAAUACGUAGGGGGCAAGCGUUGUUCGGAAUUACUGGGCGUAAAGGGCGCGUAGGCGGCACAGCAAGUCGGGAGUGAAAGCCCGGGGCUCAACCCCGGAACGGCUUUCGAAACUGCUGAGCUAGAGUACGGAAGGGGCAACCGGAAUUCCCAGUGUAGCGGUGAAAUGCGUAGAUAUUGGGAAGAACACCUGAGGCGAAGGCGGGUUGCUGGGCCGAUACUGACGCUGAGGCGCGAAAGCCAGGGGAGCAAAC
rnacentral:rRNA from 1 species